GACGGGGGGGGCAAGUGUUCUUCGGAAUGACUGGGCGUAAAGGGCACGUAGGCGGUGAAUCGGGUUGAAAGUGAAAGUCGCCAAAAAGUGGCGGAAUGCUCUCGAAACCAAUUCACUUGAGUGAGACAGAGGAGAGUGGAAUUUCGUGUGUAGGGGUGAAAUCCGUAAAUAUACGAAGGAACGCCCAAAGCGAGGACAGCUCUCUGGGUCCCUACCGACGCG
rnacentral:rRNA from 1 species